rnacentral:rRNA from 1 species
CCUACGGGUGGCAGCAGUGGGGAAUAUUGGACAAUGGGCGAAAGCCUGAUCCAGCCAUGCCGCGUGUGUGAAGAAGGCCUUCGGGUUGUAAAGCACUUUCAGUGGGGAAGAAAGCCUUGGGGCUAAUACCCUCGAGGAAGGACAUCACCCACAGAAGAAGCACCGGCUAACUCCGUGCCAGCAGCCGCGGUAAUACGGAGGGUGCGAGCGUUAAUCGGAAUUACUGGGCGUAAAGCGCGCGUAGGCGGUCUGAUAAGCCGGUUGUGAAAGCCCCGGGCUCAACCUGGGAACGGCAUCCGGAACUGUCAGGCUAGAGUGCAGGAGAGGAGGGUAGAAUUCCCGGUGUAGCGGUGAAAUGCGUAGAGAUCGGGAGGAAUACCAGUGGCGAAGGCGGCCUUCUGGACUGACACUGACGCUGAGGUGCGAAAGCGUGGGUAGCAAACAGGAUUAGAUACCCUAGUAGUC